rnacentral:rRNA from 1 species
GAUGAACGCUGGCGGCGUGCCUAAUACAUGCAAGUCGAGCGAACGGACGAGAAGCUUGCUUCUCUGAUGUUAGCGGCGGACGGGUGAGUAACACGUGGAUAACCUACCUAUAAGACUGGGAUAACUUCGGGAAACCGGAGCUAAUACCGGAUAAUAUUUUGAACCGCAUGGUUCAAAAGUGAAAGACGGUCUUGCUGUCACUUAUAGAUGGAUCCGCGCUGCAUUAGCUAGUUGGUAAGGUAACGGCUUACCAAGGCAACGAUGCAUAGCCGACCUGAGAGGGUGAUCGGCCACACUGGAACUGAGACACGGUCCAGACUCCUACGGGAGGCAGCAGUAGGGAAUCUUCCGCAAUGGGCGAAAGCCUGACGGAGCAACGCCGCGUGAGUGAUGAAGGUCUUCGGAUCGUAAAACUCUGUUAUUAGGGAAGAACCUAUGUGUAAGUAACUGUGCACAUCUUGACGGUACCUAAUCAGAAAGCCACGGCUAACUACGUG